rnacentral:lncRNA from 1 species
AGCGGGUUAAAGAUGGAGCCGGCAGGCGAGGGGCCGCCACGAGGUGCAGGGUCGUCUGGACGGGGACCCGGGGGCAGACGAUGGCCGGGAUCCUCUUCCGUCUAACCCUCCGCGUCCUGACCGGGCCCUGGGCGGAAGGGAUGUCUGCAGAGGUGUGCCCUGAACCUGCAGGAGGGACUGAGGUGUCUAACAUUCCAACCGUCCCAGCUGGAAUACAGGGUUGGAGCUGAACUUCCAAGGAGCCUGACCCCAGGCAUGCUUGGAUGACCACCUCUACCAUCAAGACCUGACACGGUGCAAAAGGCACCAGGGGCCAUGGCUGGAGGUGGCCACCCCUCAGUCCUGUACAGAUUCUGUACCCACUGGCUGGAGACCCCCAUGCAGCUGUCUCCUGCUCUUGCUGCGGGGAGACUGAACUCAGGGCUCUGCUCACUGGCUCCCUCCCAAUGGAAGCCUUCUCUGGGCUUCACAGCAUUGAAUAUUCCUCCAGAA